rnacentral:lncRNA from 1 species
AUUGAGAGAAAUAGACAGAAUGUUGGCCUCUCAGAAAGCAAGAGAAUGAUCUUGAAAUUUGAGGUGGUGAGUUUUGAUGGGCUGGUAAUUUCAUAGGAUGUGAAUGGGUGGAUUAUUGAAAGUAUUUUUGGGAAAAGGUGGAAAUUUCCAGGAAUUGGGCCACACCCACCUUUUGCCUUUUAAUGGUCAGCCUCAGAACUGUCAUGGUGCCUGUACACAUGUUAUUUAGCUAAUGCGUUGCAAGGAGCACAUAAUGAGGCUUAAGGCCCACUGGAUGUCACAUCAUCCACUAUCUUGGACCUGGUUGGUUCUAACCAUUUUUAUUGUAUCCUCAACGGCUGUGUCAUUCUUUAAGGACUGUGCCCCGAGCCUUCCCUCCUGUUUCAGUUUCAUACCUACUAUAAUCUGGUCUAGAGUGCAGAUGUUUGUUUAUAUUUUUAAAAAUUUUUAAUCCUAGACAAUCAUGGUCAUUUACCCCUGCCUGCAGGAAGCUCCAGUGUAACGCUGGGCUCAUAGUCUAUAACUUUCUUCAUUAAGACUUUUCUGUCUACUUUAUUCCUCUACUCUUUUAUCCAUUUCUUUCUCUGCUUUGAUUGUGGGUGAAGAAGUUUCCAAUUUAUUAUUCUUAUCUUUAUUUUAGAUAUUUUCGUUGCUGGCAUAAGUAAGCUCCAAAGCCACUUAACAAUAUAUUGCUCUUGUUUUCCCUUUUCCCCUUGUUCUUUCCUGCCCAGUACCAUUGACAGCAUAAAUACUGAACAAAUGGUUAUCGAGUUAAAUAUAUCCUACUGUUUCACCUCACAGAAAAAUCACAUGAAUAUAUGCACUUACGCAUUUCUGUUCAAAACAUGAGUUUUUAAUAGUAGUUAUAGUGUGGGGGGUUUGUGUGUGUAUGUGCAUAAUUUUCAACUUAAGAAGGUAUAAAGAUGUUGGGCUACGGAACAAAGUGGUGAUCGAUCCAGGGUGGAAAAUUGUCUGCAUAAAGGAUAAACAUGAAACCUACUCAGAAUGGACACAUAUCCUCAGCCUUGGUUCUUUACAGGGAACCCCAGAGCUUGGUAGUCAACAAUAAGGAACAUGUCAGGUUACCCACAAGUAAAGAAAGCACAGGUGCAGCUUUAUUAUUAUUAUCAUUAUUAUUAUUAUUGUUAUUCAUUGCCCAGCAGGGCUCUGUACCUUAAUCAUCUUGCAUAACUGAUACCUUAUGCCCUCUGAAUAGCAGCUCUUCGUCUCCUCCAAUUUUAGCCCCUGGCAACCAUGAUUCAAUGCUCUGUUUCUGUGCAGUUGACUAACUGCUAUGCUGCGUGGAGGGCCCUCAAGCCCCACCGUCUACCCUCUUCCACCUCAAGCCUUUCUGUGUCCUCCGGCCUGGGUCUCCUUGCUCUAUCCUGAGUAUUUUGGUCUAUGACAGUCCAAGCCAGGACCUACCGAACAAGUGAUCAACUCCAAACAUAGGAAAGGAAAGCCUGGAAUAUUUCUUAUAUGGUAGUGGGGAUAAUACAGUUAAUAGAAAGGCUUGCAGAUAUGUCACACAUGGGAGGCACGUGUAACAAAGGAACAAAGCUGACAGUUCUGACAUGAUUAUCAUAGAAAAUGGUAAGAAGAGGAGCUCAGAACGUGUGUUUCUAGUCCUGUUAAAAUCUGCUGCCUCAAAAUCCAGACCUUAAUGAAUGUUUAAGCUUGUUCACAAAUUUGCAUAUGAUUUGAUAAUCUCUGACUUUAUUUAUAGCUACCUUACUAGAUUGGUCAGGAAUUUAUCUGGAAGGCAGGACAAUUGGAAUAAGAAAAAGGACGUAAUAAAAAUGAACAUUAAAAUUUUGAGUUAACUAAGGUUAAAACUAAGUGAAUGAGAAUGCAUAAGCAGAAAGUUGAAAUCCAAGAUUCAUUUCCUUAAUCUUUUUGGGCCAAAUAAAACUGGAUGUACCAUGUCCUUUAGGCUUUUUAUCCUGCCUUUCAUUUUAGCAGUAAUUUAUUCAUGAGUCUUAGAGACCUUUUUUUUGGCAUCAUUUAAAUGUAUCAUAUCUUGACAGUUUUUCCUCUCUUCAGGCUCAUCCUACUCUGUUGUAAUUUAUUUAAGUAUUUUAGUGUUUUAGAGGAUUGUGGAUUAAUGAUGCAUUUAAACUGCUUUAGAAUGACCUUAGGCUAGGUAAAUUACUGAAGUCAUGCCAGCCAGGGAUAUUUAUUUUGAUGGCAGUCAGCUUUUACUCUCCUGUUUAACCACAUGGCACACAAAGUAACUGGCUGGCUGGUUUAAAAUAUAUUCUGUAAGAGUUACAAACAAAUUUUAUUAAGAGGGAAAUAACUGUUUACAGUUUUGACCCUAUUACAGGCAAUAUCCAAUUCUAUUUUUCACUGUGAUUGAGUGACUUUAUCUCAGCUGUUCAUGGUACAGCUUUGAAAAGAAGUGUAACCAAGAAUAGCACUGUCCUGAGCCUGGGGCCCCACACUUCAGGGCUGUGCAUCUCACAAUCACGCAUGCGCACGCACAUGUAUAUUUAAAUGUGUUAAAGAAACCAUGGGCACUUUUAUCACUGGGAACCCCACAUCCAGCUGUAGCACAGCCAGAUCCAUAACACCAAGCCUUCAGUCUAGUGACCCUCACUAUUCAAGCCUUGAGGAAAAACUCUCCCCUAUCUCCUACUCUUUGUCUUUCCAACAAGGGCGGUGACUCAAAGGCAAGGACAUCUGGUGGCUUGUACUGCUGACUUCUGAAUAGACACUGCUGGAAAGUAUGGGGAGCCUUGGAGUAGAAAAUCACUUAGGUGACAGAAAAGUCUAAUUAAUUGAACUCCUCAAACAUUUUCUCCAAAUGUUUUUUCUCGGGAAUGAAUUUUCCUGUGAAUGCAGUAGAUUUUUGUGUGGCAAAGUAUCAUUUUCCAGGGAUAUCCAUUUAGCUGAGCAAUAAUUCUCUGGUUUCUCAUCAUGUUGAAAUUCAAGUCCUAAAAGUUGCAUAUACUUCUCUAAACCAUCUUGAAUCCGUCUUUGAUCACAGUGUCUUUUCCUGGCUCCGUUCACCCCAGCUGAAAAAGUCUAUGUGAUCUUGACUUAAAAAACUGUUGUUACUGAAAAAUAAGAACUGCCCCAUGAAAAUCCAAAAUCCUUUUAUUCAAGAUCAUGCUGACUUAUUUCAUGUUUUAGUGAAAACUUCUCUGCCAGGACACUACAAAUUUUGCAGGUCCUCUUUCAUGAACCUCUGCUCCUUGUCCUAUGAGUGGCCUCCACCACCAGACUCCUGUAAGAUUCCUGCCCCGAUGAAUCUUUGAAAACAGUUCUUUGCUGGCUGGCAUCCCUACUAUAUAUCAACUGUAAAAACAUCUUUUUCUCUUCCAGAUUUCCUUGUUAAUACCAAUGGUCCAAACAUGUAAGAAAGUUUUAAAAAAUGGGAUUAAGAUUGAUCAUGAAAUGAUUAAUCAGUAAUUGAUAAAGUGAGAAAAGAGAACAUGAAAUGAUCAAAGUUACAUAUUAUUCAGUUCAACUUGUGUCAGUGACAAAUAGUGGACAAUUAAAAUUUAUUGUAUAUAUUGGUGAAACACUGGUCAUUGAAAACAAGUUGAAAUUAAUGAACAUUUUCAUUGAUUUAUUAAAAAUAUAAUUGGCUUAAGUGAGUAACUAAAAACAUAACUUGCAGUAUUAGGCUUUAGUUUAAGAGAUUGCUAGAGGCAAACAUAACUUCCAAUAUUAGACAUUGGUUUAAGAGAUUGCUAGAGGCACCUUUAUGAAAAUGGCACUAAUAUAUUGGGAAAGAAAAGUAUGUACAAGUUAGAUUUUUAGCCCAAUCUGGAUAAUGCCCUUUGUGGUGGUUGUUAUGCACAGUCUGAAUUUAUUACUAUGAAAUGGGUCUUCAACAGUGUCUAUAGCAAUGGCGUUAUUUUAAACAAUUCACAUCUCACAUGCAGCACUUUUUUUGAAGUGCUCCAAAAUGGAACAUCUUGAUGAAAUAUACAUUAAACUUUAUUUAAUGACCAUUCUCAAGCACAUUGGGAAUAGUAACUAUAAGGUAUAAAGAAUGAAUGAUGAUGUUUUUGAGCAGUAACUAAAUUAAGUUUGAAUUUCCACUAUACUAAGACAGUUACCAGAAUUGUUGUUUACUGCUAAUAAUGCUAACGGACAUUUACAUAAAAUGUCAAAUGGAUCUAAAAUUGGCUAAAAGGUUUUAAAACUUGAAAAUAAUAUUUCUAAAUAGAAGCAACUUAAUGUAAAAUUCAAUACAAAAGUGAUAGUCUUAUAAACAUAAAUGGGUUAGUAAAAUAAAGUAAAAUUUGAAAGAGACUGCAUUGAAUCUAUAUGCCUUGGGUUGUGCAGUCAUUUUGAGAAAAUUGGUUGUCCCAGUCUAAGAAAAUGGUUUAUCUUUCCAUAUGUUUGUGUCAUCUUUGAUUUCUUUCAGCAGUGUCUUAUAGUUUUCAGAGUCUUUUGUCUCUUUAGGUAGUUUUAUUCCUAUGUAUUUUAUCUUUUUGGUGCAAAGGUAAAUGGGAUGGUUUCCCUUACCAAUGAUACUCCUAACAGAACUAGAAAAUAUAUUUUAAAAUUUGUAUGGAAACAAAAAAGACCUCAAAAAGCCAAAGCAAUAUUUAAAAAGAAAAAUGGAACUGGAGGGAUCAGGCUUCCUUACUUCAGACUAUACUACAAAGCUAUAGUAUUCAAAACAGUAUGGUACUGGGGUUAAAAACAGAAAUAUAGAUCAUUGGAACAGGAUAGAAAGCCCAAAAAUAAACACAAACACGUAUGGUCAACCAAUAUAUGACAAAGGAGGCAAGAACAUACAGUGGAGGAAAGACAGUCACUUCAAUAAGUGCUGGGGAAACUGGACAGCUACAUGAAAAAGAAUGAAAUUAGAACAUUCUCUAACAUCAUACAGAAAAAUGAACUCAACCUAAGCAUAAGGCCAGAUACUAUUAAACUCCUAGAGAAAAACAUAGACCGAAGGCUCUUUCAUAUAAAUCACAGCAACAUCUUGUUUGACCCAUCUGCUAGAAUAAUGACAAUAAAAACAAAAAUAAACCAAUGGGACCUAAUUAAACUGAAAUGCUUUUGCACAGCAAAGGAAACCACUAAAAAACAAACAGAAAAAUGAUAAUCCACAGAAUGGGAGAAAAUCUUUGUGAAUGACGCAGCCAAUAAUGGCUUAAUUGCUAAAAUAUACAAACAACUCAUACAAC